CGCCCCUGCAGAUGGGCAUUGACAGAAAAAUUUUUUCGGUGGAAAGCAACAUUACCGCAGCCGGCGGAACAGCGCUGGAUGUAAUGCGAAAUAUUCCAUCUGUAACGGUUGACGCCGAAGGUUCUGUACAAUUGCGCAAUGCUGCGCCACAGGUGUUUGUUGAUGGUCGUCCUACCAUUUUAACGCCCGACCAGAUUCCGGCCGACCAGGUGGAACGGAUUGAACUGAUCACCAAUCCUUCGGCCAAAUUUGACGCAUCCAACUCGGCCGGUA
rnacentral:misc_RNA from 1 species